rnacentral:rRNA from 1 species
GAGUUUGAUCCUGGCUCAGAUUGAACGCUGGCGGCAUGCCUUACACAUGCAAGUCGAACGGCAGCACGGGAGCUUGCUCCUGGUGGCGAGUGGCGAACGGGUGAGUAAUGCAUCGGAACGUAUCCUGGAGUGGGGGAUAACGUAGCGAAAGUUACGCUAAUACCGCAUAUUCUGUGAGCAGGAAAGCGGGGGACCUUCGGGCCUCGCGCUCUUGGAGCGGCCGAUGUCGGAUUAGCUAGUUGGUGAGGUAAAGGCUCACCAAGGCGACGAUCCGUAGCAGGUCUGAGAGGAUGAUCUGCCACACUGGAACUGAGACACGGUCCAGACUCCUACGGGAGGCAGCAGUGGGGAAUUUUGGACAAUGGGGCAACCCUGAUCCAGCCAUGCCGCGUGAGUGAAGAAGGCC